rnacentral:rRNA from 1 species
CCUACGGGUGGCAGCAGUCGAGAAUCAUUCACAAUGGGGGAAACCCUGAUGGUGCGACGCCGCGUGGGGGAAUGAAGGUCUUCGGAUUGUAAACCCCUGUCAUGUGGGAGCAAAUUAAAAAGAUAGUACCACAAGAGGAAGAGACGGCUAACUCUGUGCCAGCAGCUGCGGUAAUACAGAGGUCUCAAGCGUUGUUCGGAAUCACUGGGCGUAAAGCGUGAGUAGGCUGUUUCGUAAGUCGUGUGUGAAAGGCGAGGGCUCAACCCGCGGACGGCACAUGAUACUGCGAGACUAGAGUAAUGGAGGGGGAAGCGGAAUUCUCGGUGUAGCAGUGAAAUGCGUAGAUAUCAGGAGGAACACUCGUGGCGAAGGCGGGUUCCUGGACAUUAACUGACGCUGAGGCACGAAGGCGAGGGGAGCGAAAGGGAUUAGAUACCCGGGUAGUC